UGAGCAAUCUGCCCUUCACAUCGGAAUAACCAUUGGAAACGAUGGCUAAUACCGAAUAUGACUUCGGAUCGCAUGAUCUGAAGUGGAAAGCUCGGCGGUGAAGGAUGAGCUCGCGGCCUAUCAGCUUGUUGGUGAGGUAAUAGCUCACCAAGGCGAUGACGGGUAGCCGGCCUGAGAGGGUCGACCGGCCACACGUGGGACUGGAGACACCGGCAGUACCG
rnacentral:rRNA from 1 species